rnacentral:rRNA from 1 species
UUAAGUUAUUAAGGGCGCACGGUGGAUGCCUUGGCACUAGAAGCCGAUGAAGGACGUUACUAACGACGAUAUGCUUUGGGGAGCUGUAAGUAAGCUUUGAUCCAGAGAUUUCCGAAUGGGGAAACCCAGCAUGAGUUAUGUCAUGUUAUCGAUAUGUGAAUACAUAGCAUAUCAGAAGGCACACCCGGAGAACUGAAACAUCUUAGUACCCGGAGGAAGAGAAAGAAAAUUCGAUUCCCUUAGUAGCGGCGAGCGAAACGGGAAGAGCCCAAACCAACAAGCUUGCUUGUUGGGGUUGUAGGACACUCUAUACGGAGUUACAAAGGACGACAUUAGACGAAUCAUCUGGAAAGAUGAAUCAAAGAAGGUAAUAAUCCUGUAGUCGAAAAUGUUGUCUCUCUUGAGUGGAUCCUGAGUACGACGGAGCACGUGAAAUUCCGUCGGAAUCUGGGAGGACCAUCUCCUAAGGCUAAAUACUCUCUAGUGACCGAUAGUGAACCAGUACCGUGAGGGAAAGGUGAAAAGCACCCCGGAAGGGGAGUGAAAUAGAACCUGAAACCGUGUGCUUACAAGUAGUCAGAGCCCGUUAAUGGGUGAUGGCGUGCCUUUUGUAGAAUGAACCGGCGAGUUACGAUUUGAUGCAAGGUUAAGCAGUAAAUGUGGAGCCGUAGCGAAAGCGAGUCUGAAUAGGGCGUUUAGUAUUUGGUCGUAGACCCGAAACCAGGUGAUCUACCCUUGGUCAGGUUGAAGUUCAGGUAACACUGAAUGGAGGACCGAACCGACUUACGUUGAAAAGUGAGCGGAUGAACUGAGGGUAGCGGAGAAAUUCCAAUCGAACCUGGAGAUAGCUGGUUCUCUCCGAAAUAGCUUUAGGGCUAGCCUCAAGUGAUGAUUAUUGGAGGUAGAGCACUGUUUGGACGAGGGGCCCCUCUCGGGUUACCGAAUUCAGACAAACUCCGAAUGCCAAUUAAUUUAACUUGGGAGUCAGAACAUGGGUGAUAAGGUCCGUGUUCGAAAGGGAAACAGCCCAGACCACCAGCUAAGGUCCCAAAAUAUAUGUUAAGUGGAAAAGGAUGUGGCGUUGCCCAGACAACUAGGAUGUUGGCUUAGAAGCAGCCAUCAUUUAAAGAGUGCGUAAUAGCUCACUAGUCGAGUGACACUGCGCCGAAAAUGUACCGGGGCUAAACAUAUUACCGAAGCUGUGGAUUGUCCUUUGGACAAUGGUAGGAGAGCGUUCUAAGGGCGUUGAAGCAUGAUCGUAAGGACAUGUGGAGCGCUUAGAAGUGAGAAUGCCGGUGUGAGUAGCGAAAGACGGGUGAGAAUCCCGUCCACCGAUUGACUAAGGUUUCCAGAGGAAGGCUCGUCCGCUCUGGGUUAGUCGGGUCCUAAGCUGAGGCCGACAGGCGUAGGCGAUGGAUAACAGGUUGAUAUUCCUGUACCACCUAUAAUCGUUUUAAUCGAUGGGGGGACGCAGUAGGAUAGGCGAAGCGUGCGAUUGGAUUGCACGUCUAAGCAGUAAGGCUGAGUAUUAGGCAAAUCCGGUACUCAUUAAGGCUGAGCUGUGAUGGGGAGAAGACAUUGUGUCUUCGAGUCGUUGAUUUCACACUGCCGAGAAAAGCCUCUAGAUAGAAAAUAGGUGCCCGUACCGCAAACCGACACAGGUAGUCAAGAUGAGAAUUCUAAGGUGAGCGAGCGAACUCUCGUUAAGGAACUCGGCAAAAUGACCCCGUAACUUCGGGAGAAGGGGUGCUCUUUAGGGUUAACGCCCAGAAGAGCCGCAGUGAAUAGGCCCAAGCGACUGUUUAUCAAAAACACAGGUCUCUGCUAAACCGUAAGGUGAUGUAUAGGGGCUGACGCCUGCCCGGUGCUGGAAGGUUAAGAGGAGUGGUUAGCUUCUGCGAAGCUACGAAUCGAAGCCCCAGUAAACGGCGGCCGUAACUAUAACGGUCCUAAGGUAGCGAAAUUCCUUGUCGGGUAAGUUCCGACCCGCACGAAAGGCGUAACGAUUUGGGCACUGUCUCAACGAGAGACUCGGUGAAAUCAUAGUACCUGUGAAGAUGCAGGUUACCCGCGACAGGACGGAAAGACCCCGUGGAGCUUUACUGUAGCCUGAUAUUGAAAUUCGGCACAGCUUGUACAGGAUAGGUAGGAGCCUUUGAAACGUGAGCGCUAGCUUACGUGGAGGCGCUGGUGGGAUACUACCCUAGCUGUGUUGGCUUUCUAACCCGCACCACUUAUCGUGGUGGGAGACAGUGUCAGGCGGGCAGUUUGACUG